AAUGAACGCUGGCGGCGUGCCUAACACAUGCAAGUCGUACGAGAAAUCCCGAGCUUGCUUGGGAGAGUAAAGUGGCGCACGGGUGAGUAACGCGUGGGUAACCCACCCUCGAAUCUGGGAUAACUCCGCGAAAGCGGUGCUAAUACCGGAUAAGACCACAUUCCGUUCGCGGAAAGAGGUAAAAGCUGACCUCUCCAUAGAAGUUAGCGUUUGAGGACGGGCCCGCGUCCUAUCAGCUUGUUGGUGGGGUAAUGGCCUACCAAGGCAGCGACGGGUAGCUGGUCUGAGAGGAUGAUCAGCCACACUGGAACUGGAACACGGUCCAGACUCCUACGGGAGGCAGCAGUGAGGAAUUUUGCGCAAUGGGGGAAACCCUGACACAGCAACGCCGCGUGGGUGAAGAAGGCUUUCGGGUCGUAAAGCCCUGUCAGGUGGGAAGAAACUCUUCAGUACUAAUAAUGCUGAAGCCUGACGGUACCACCAGAGGAAGCACCGGCCAACUCCGUG
rnacentral:rRNA from 1 species